rnacentral:rRNA from 2 species
GGGAGGUAAACCCCUUCUAAAGCUAAAUACUGGCCAGAGACCGAUAGCGCACAAGUAGAGUGAUCGAAAGAUGAAAAGCACUUUGAAAAGAGAGUUAAAUAGCACGUGAAAUUGUUGAAAGGGAAGCGCUUGCGACCAGACUUGUGCCCGUCGAAUCAGCCGCCGCUCGCCGGCGGCGCACUUCGGCGGGCUCAGGCCAGCAUCAGUUCGCUGCAGGGGGAGAAAGGCGGCGGGAAUGUGGCUCUUCGGAGUGUUAUAGCCCGCCGCGCAAUACCCCUCGGCGGACUGAGGACCGCGCAUCUGCAAGGAUGCUGGCGUAAUGGUCGUCAGCGAC